UACGUAGGGGGCAAGCGUUGUCCGGAAUCAUUGGGCGUAAAGAGCGUGUAGGCGGCUCGGUAAGUCCGCUGUGAAAGCCCGGGGCUCAACCCCGGGAGGCGGGUGGAUACUGUCAAGCUCGAGUCCGGAAGAGGCGAGUGGAAUUCCUGGUGUAGCGGUGAAAUGCGCAGAUAUCAGGAGGAACACCAAUGGCGAAGGCAGCUCGCUGGGACGGUACUGACGCUGAGACGCGAAAGCGUGGGGAGCAAACAGG
rnacentral:rRNA from 1 species